GUGCCAGCAGCCGCGGUAAUACAGAGGUCUCAAGCGUUGUUCGGAAUUACUGGGCGUAAAGGGUGCGCAGGCCGCGCGGGCAGUCAAAUGUGUAAUCCAGGGGCUCAACCCCUGAACUGCGCUUGAUACUUCCGCGCUCGAGCUUUGGAGAGGAGUCUGGAAUUCUCGGUGUAGCAGUGAAAUGCGUGGAUAUCGAGAAGAACACUUAGGGCGUAGGCAAGACUCUGGACAAAUGCUGACGCUCAUGCACGAAGGCUAGGGUAGCGAACGGGAUUAGAUACCCCCGUAGUCC
rnacentral:rRNA from 1 species